AGCCGGUUUACUUGAGUUCACAUCCCACUUGUGACAUAUGCUAGUGAUGCAACCUUGGCCAAGUUACACAAUUCCUCUGUGCCUCUUUUUCCUCCUCCUUAAGAUGGGAGUAAAAAUGGAUGUCCCUAUAGGGCGUCAUGAGAUGACUGAAGUAGCUACGCAUCUAAAGAGUUUAAGACAGUGUCUAGCAUAUAAUAAGCUCUCAUGAACUGUUAGCUCUUAUUAUUAUCAUCAUUACAUGGAAAUCAAAAAAGACCCUGGUCCUUGGGUGUUUGUGUCUCUGGGUCUGGUUGCUGUCAUCUCUGACAUGUAAGUGGCUCCUCCACACGCAGUGCUUCUCCAGAUUUCCACGGAAGAGGCAUGUGGACCUCCACACACACUUUUUUGAAAUCUUUUAUUUUAUUACUAUGUUUGACUACUAAAAAACAUUCUUUACAAACCUCAUAUCCUGGUAAAAUUUACACCCCAAGCAGCUGAACUAUACUUCACCAGGAACUUGUUACAUCCUUCCAGACUCCCUUUUUCCCAAGACUAGAAGCGUGACUCCAUCUUUCCCACCUUUGACCUCCUCAGCACGAGGGACCUUUGCUUUAUUCCACGUCAGCCACCUACACUCAGAGCCACACCCAGCUCUUAUCUUGGCUGGCUACUGCUCCACCUUUGAAAUCUCAAACAGCAGGUCCCACUCUGACCCCUCCCUCUUGUCUUUUCAGAGCUCUCCUCAGACUGGCUCAUUGACCUCCUGAAUUCCAGACUCUGAACCCCUCCCUCGUUUCCUUCCCAGUCGUUCAAACCUUAUUGGUUUCUCAGAUUUGCAACUCGCCAUACCUCUUCCCCCUGCCACGUUGAUGGAUGCAUGGAGCAUGAGCAAGAAAUAGACCUUUCUGUAUGUAGCCACCUAGAAUUUUUUUUUAAUUUCUGCAUCAUGACCUGGCUCAUUUUGACUGGGGCACCUUUUUCCUAGGUGCAUGUGAAGAACAAAGAGGUCAUGUACACAGAGCACUAAGCCCAGUGCCCGGACAAUAAUAACUGCUCAAGAAACAUUAGCUAUUAAUCUUAUCUGCCAAAAUCACAGGGGCCACACACUGCCCUGUAAUGUGUCUGCAAAUUCCAUCAGAUCCCUUCUCCUCUAUGCAAUAGCGAUUUCUAUUAUUCAUUAUCCCACCAAACCUUCAACCUUUGUAGAGAAAAUAGAGGUAAUCAGGUGGAAACUUUCUCAAUAAUUCUCAUCCAAAUUGAUCUGCAGGUUUCCUUUCUGAUCAAUUUCCUUUUUAUUUUAGAAGCAUUUGGGUAUCUCCUGACUGUGUGAACUGGAGGACAGAAGGAGGGGUGACUUCUAAGACCAGGAAAGGUUGAAUAUCAUUCAUUCAUUCACUGAUAUAUCCCUAGUAAGAAGGGGUCUAGGGCCUAGAGAAAGGUGGUUUGAAGAUUGAGAGCUAAAGAGACAGCUAUGCCAGAUCUAUUUUUCUUUCCCAAAUAUACCCCCUCUUUCCCUGUGCUGUCUUUCGUUUACCAUUCUCCCUUCCCACCAGGUACAUGACUAGCCAAAGCUGGGAGAAGGGGAGGACUGGACUGAAGCUCAUGAAUUAGGCCAUGCUGUCACUGUCCUGGGUUUCAGGAGGAAAGGAAGAGAAGCCCAGUGAAGAUCAUGGAGGAAAGCCUCAGGAAGGAGGUGAGGCAGGGACUACCCUUCUGGAACCUCCAUCAACUCUCCUGGCUACGUGAGCAGUUGACGUGCAACAAAAGGCCUGCAUGCUUCCCCCUCUCCAGACAGGUUUCUCUGGAACCCCAACAGACAGACAGACAGUGAUCUUUCUCCUCUCCAGACAACAUCCUCAGCUGCCGCCGCUGACUCAGCCUCCCCGCCCUCCCCGUGGGUGGAGUAGGUAGGCAGCCUGUCCCUGGGGUUGAAGUUGCAGGUGACAUAAGGGUAUAGUUGCAAACGUCUGCAGAUAGGAGACCUCUGAUUUCUCCCCAAACCCUGGGACAUUCACAGCCCUCUCUCCUUUACCUGUCAGUCAGCCCCACCUUCCAGUUCCAAACCCAGACAACCAUCAGUUCCUUCUGUAGUAGACUGGAACACAGUGUCCCUGGAGGCACAGAAGGCCCUAGCUGAAAUGGCCUUCGGGACUAGCUAGCAUUCCCUUUGAGGAGAAACAGACUGCCCACCCAUUCCAGGAAGGCCCAGGAGUCCUGGCUACAACAUCUGAAAAGAGAGCAACUGACAUCCCAGGUGACUUUCUUGUUCAGCACAGCAGACACAGCACCUUGGGUCUAUAAGAAAAUGUUUUCAUAUAGAAUAGUAAGAUCUUUGCCUUUAUGUCAAUUUAGUUGUAAAGUAUAAUUUUACACACACACACUUUUCUGGAAAAGGGAGUCCACACAGGCAAAACUGCCUAGGGCCCAUGAAAAUCAUAUCACAGCCCUGCUUAUAUGGGGAUCAGCCUUCUCUUCUAUAAAAUAAGAUCACAAUACUUUCCACACCAUUCCACCUCCAGUUUCAUCAGUAUUCUGCCUAAACAUCACUGACCUUAACAUUUCCAGAUUUGAAAUGUUUAGAAGCCCCCCACGUAUCCAAUAUGUAACAGCUAGAUUCCUUAGUGCUGCAUUUGAGGCCUUUCACUGUUUUCCACUUUGAGCUUCUACCAUUGUCCCCUUGUACACAACUCUCCGGCUAGGAACAUCAUACCUUGUGCUGCUUGUUCCGGGAACAGGCUGAACCUUGAGUUCCAGCAUGCCUUUGCACACUCAGGCCCCUUUUGCUUUGAAAGCAUUCCCUUCCCCUUCUCUGCCUGAUGGUGUCCUGUGACAGCACAGCUAGUGAAGUUGCAGCAUCCAGUGAAAAAGAAAACGUGGAGCUCCUUGCCGAAAACUUGUUGAGAAUUUCAAGAUGGUAGAGGAGAACAUUCAACCAUGUAUGGGGCUCUUCUGUGCUCAUGGCCCUGUGGACCUGCCCAUGAAGCCAUCUCUGCCUACUCCUUUCCUGAGAACAUCUCAAAUGACACCUGAUUUUUGAAGCAGUUUUUACUCUUCAAGACCAGCAAUAGGAAGUCACAAAACGAAGCACUUCUUAUGUUCCAGGCAUCAUGCCAAGCACUUUAUGGCCAAGGUUUUAUUUAAUCCUCACAACCACUCCACGAGAAAUCUGUUCCAAAACACUUGGAAAGCUCCUCCUAACAAGCCGAGGCUCAUUUGGCAUCACCUCUUACAGGAAGCCUUUCAUAACUUCUAGCUCUUCCAAAGGCUGAGUUCCCAUAACGUCCAGGCUCACCUCUGGCCCAUAACUUACUGUAUUUACCCCAACUGGGCUGACAGCCCUUUGAAGGUAAAAAUAGUAUCCAAGUCAUCUCUGGAUCUCCAGCCUCCAGCCUGGGACCUCUUUGGCAUCUGGAAGCACACAUUAAUUCUCACAGAAACUCUUGGAGGUAGCUGCAAGAGCUGCUACAGACCUUGAUUAGAGUCAUUACAUAUGGACCUUCAUGAAUCAGAGGAAGAAUGAGGCCUGGAGUCAUAAAGGGGCUUGACUGAAGUCACAGGGCUCAUGGCAGGACCAGGAUCAAAAUAGGUCCCAGUGUGCGGCAGGUAAGUGGCAGGCUUGAAGGAAUGACUAACCGGGUGUGUUAUAAAUUCCUGACCCCCUCCUGCUGCAGCCCUGAUAGGACCACUUAGUUUCCACCAUGGACACUCCACUGUCCUUAUCCCAUGGGCUUUUGCUGGGCUAUUAGAAUCAAGUUCUCUUCUUAGCUCCCUUCUGACUUUGUGCCUUGAACUUGCAAGUUGGUCUUUUGCCUGAUGAGGAUGAUCUUGUUAAAUCUCUAUUAUGCAAACCAGGACUCUGUGGGAGCCCCACUACCUACCUUUUCCUCCAGUCAGUUUCCCAGAAGGCUAGAAUUUGGUCCCUGCUACCUUCUUUCCUGGCCAUUCCUAUCACCUGCUGUGAGACCUGAUAACAUGAUGUUUUCCCUGCCCCUGGGGAUACCCCUGUCAGCAUUGCCAAAAUACUUUGAUUGAUAUUUACUACUCUCGGCCUGAACUCCCUGUUGGUACUACACCUGGGGCAACUGGAGAUCACUAGUUCUGCCCGCUCUGCUCUUGGCAUCCUGAGUUCUCGUCUUCCCGUCCCUCCUGGUCAUACCUGAUACUGACACAUAAGUUGGCUUUUUAAGCUUGCUGUGUGACUUUUGCUUUUUGAAAACUGUCUUCCCUCUUCCAGUCAAGCAGUGCUUACUGGAUUAUUGACUUCCAAAGGCAGUGGUUCCCAAACUUAAGUGUACUUUAGAAACAUCUGGAGAGCUUGAUAAAUAGCUCUGUACCCAGAAACUCUGGUUCAGUGAAUCUGGAGACAGGGCCUUGGAAUAUAUAUUUUUAAUGAGGCAGAUGCUAAGUAGACCAAAGUUGGAGAGAAGGUAGGCACUGUGGUAGUUAAUAAGAAUAACAGGAAUCUCACACAUGUGCAUUUUAUAUCAGUUUGUAAGAUAAUAUUAGUUCAUCUACCUCACCCUUGUGUUAGAACACAACAAAACAAUGAAACAAUACAAAAUACCUCCAUGAACUAGCAUAGAAAAUAAGGCUCUGGAGUCAGAGAAUCCAGGCCUCCACUUACUAAACAAAAGACCUUGUAGAAGUCACUUAACCUUUCUAACAUUGUGUUUGUCCAUCUAUUUUAAUGGAGAUCUUAAUUCCUUAGAGCUUUGUUGUGAAUAUUGAAUGAAAUAUUGCAAAAUGGCCAUUUUAGUAUCCAAUAUAUGUUUGAAGAAUUAAGGAACAAAUAAAGCUAAUAUGUGUGGACAGCUCUCUGUUUGCCAAGAAGUGGUCUGAGGGCUUUAUAUGAACCCAAUUAUUUAAUCCUCAUAGCAGCCUGUGAGGCAGGGGUACCAGUUCCUUCACUUAGAGGCUCACCGACAUUAUGUGACUUGUCCAGAGUCCCUAGACUAGGGGCAGUGCCGAAAUUCAGACUCUGGCUGCUCUGACUUUAGAAAUGGAACUUUGAGCUGCCAUGUAUCUAUCAUGCCACUCCAAAACAGAAUUGAUAGAGUCCUUAAAACAACUCGUUUGGCGCUUGAUCUCCAGCCCCGGUAUCACACUGUAGAAGGAUCGUGGGCUUGGGAAUGAGGAAAAUGGCAGUCCUGGUUCCUCCACUGAUGGCUGUGUGACUGGGGGCAAGCCUCUUCCCCUCUCUGCACUGAGGAGCCAUCAUUCUACAGCUAAAUAUGAGGUGGCACAGAAGGCUGUUGGAAAUAUCCACUGUGAUGUCCUAAAGGAAGCAGCUGCAGGAUUGGGAGCAGAGGUGGGAUUUGGCAUCUCCUAAUUCCCAGCCUCUGGUAGGGAGUCGUGGGGGAGGUUUACUCAGUCUGUCCUCUCCUUCAGCUCUGGGUUCCAGGGCCUGCUUCCCAGGAGAGAGGCAUGGGUAGGGACCCCUCUGCCCUGUGGUGGCAGGAAGCAACAUCUGCUUCCAGGGAGAUGGGACUGCCCAGGAGGUGAUCCCCUCCUGGGAGAUAGAUAGCUGAUGGCUGCCUCCUUUUUCACCUCCAGUGCCUACUGUUAUGGGGGAAAAUUAAAAUACAAACACACCAAAACAGUAACAUGGGCUGUUCAUGCAGAUCACUUGCUUAGCUGCUUUGGAGAGAGAAGGUUUGCUCUUUCUGCUGGCAUGGAACAUCAAAAACAACCAGAGGGCCAGGAAGUCAACUAGGUUAGAACAAGAGGAAACCUCAAACCAGAACCCUUCCUGGCAGUGCAGGGCAGAGGUCAUUAAGAGUGUGGACUCAGGAGUCAGACUCUCUCAGGUUCCGGCCCUCACUGUGCUACCCACCAACAGUGCGACCUUGAGCAGGUCAUUUGAUGACUUAAUGUCAGUUUCCUAAUUCGUAAAGUGUGGAUAAUAAUGAUACCUGCCUUGUGAGUCUCUAUGAGGAACAAACACAAGUAAAGACAAAGGUGUGCCGUGUGGUAAAUAUGCAGUAAACACAUGUUCUUUUUCAAGCCUGAGCACUUUGAGGGACUUGGUCUCCUCCUCCUUCAUCUAAUCCAGUUGUUCAGACUUUACUGAGCAGUUGCCAACUGCUGGGGAGCGUUUUGAGCAUCAGGCAUACAGGCAUACAUAAGACAUAAUACUUGGCUCAACAGAUUUAGUCUCAAAUUUCUAAAAUCCUUGUUGACCUUACCACCCACACACAAAUAACAGUAAUGAUGAUGAUGAUAACGCACACCCCGUGACAUUUACUAGACAAUAGUUAUGUGCAGACUCAGUGCUGGACACAAUGUAUACAUUAUUGCUGACAUUCAUAACAAGCUUUUGGGAUAUGUACUAAUAUUCCCAUUGAUGAGGGAAACUGAAGCUGGAGGAGUGAAGGUUCUGCAGCUGAUGGACUGGAAUCCCAGGUUCUGCAGAUUCUAACAAGGCCUUCUCCUCCCCAAGCUGCCUCCUUCCAGCCUCAAACCUUCACAGGCAGGCUGGCACUUCUGAAUUUAAUUACCACAACCACUCUGAGAGACAGAGACCUUUAUUAUCAGAUCCAUUUUCCCGACAACAGAAGUUAGAGCAGGUUAAGCAGUUUGCCAACUAUAGCUCAGCUAGUGAGCUGUAAAGACUCUGUGUCUUAAGAUCAAAUAAAAGGCAAUUCUGAGGCUGCCGCUUGGUGAGAAGCUUCUGCAGAGGCGAAAAAUAUGUGCAAACAAAACCAACAGCUUUCUUUAUGUUCCCCAAAGUUGCUAAAAAUGCCUGCGGGUUUGCACACAAGCAGACGUGCUCACAAUGUUGGGUGGCUUCUGUCUUCUUGGCUCCAGCAAGAAGAGACCUGGCAGGUAUUUCUCACAUCUUUGUUAAACACAUACAUCAGACAAGGGAAGGAGUUCCAAGGUAGUCCCAGGGUGUGGAUUUCUGCCAAGUUUCCUUUUAUUUGUUGUUAACUUGGAAAAAAAUAAAAGAUGCCUUAUGGAUAAGCCCAUAAUCCCUAAAGCAACUGUGGUGAAAAAUGUCUUCCCUCUACUUGGAAUCAGACAGCCCUGAUCCUGACUGGGGGGUCUUCUACCUGCAAGCCCUGUGAUCUUGUCCAGGUUGCUUAGCCUCCCAGGACUAACCUCUGUCUGCCCAUCUGUAAAAUAGGCAUGACAGUCCCUCCUGCAGGAAGGUAAACUCCAUGAAGGCAGGCAUAGUUGUCUGUUCUGUUUGUACCUGCAUUUCAGUGCCUAGAACAGUGCCUGACACAGGAUCAGUGAACGAGUUAAGGAACAAAUGAAUAAAUGAGUUGCUAUUUUUGCAGAGUUGUUGGAGGUCAAAAUAAGAUCAUGAGUAGGAAAUUACUUUGCAAACUGCAAAUUGCUACACAAAUAUAAAGAUUUAUUAUCACAGAACAUGGUCUAGGUUCUAUUAAAUAAAUUUAUCCAGUCAAUCAGUCAGUGAGUGCUUCCUGAGCUUCCUCUUGGGUCUGGCAUUGUGAUACAAAGAAAGAGGGGGCCUGGUUCCUUCCUUCAAGGGCUCGCAGUCCGGCAGGAGGAUAUACAAGUGAGGCAGGCACUAAAACACAAUAUAGGUAAGUAUAGGGUGCUAAGGGGGAAACAAAAGGGACUGAGUUCCCACACUAAAAAGGAGUGGGUCAGGGAACUUUCUGGAAGAGGUGUUCUGGCCCUCACUCUGCCGAAGGGCAGAAGCUGAAAGCAGACUUCUGGAGACAUCCUCCCAGGUUGACUCACCAGGCACAUGGCGGGUGAGGCUGGAGAUGGAAAAGUGACUGAGAGUAAGAGAGGGCCUGGAGGGCCCACGUGCUUAUCAGGAGGGGCCUCGGGGUGCAAGAGAAAGCAUUUAGAAGGACAUGGUGGGAGAGAAUGGCUGGGCUUGUGGGCAGGGUAGUUCCCCGGGCAGAUGAGUGGAGGCCAGACCCUGUGAAGCCAAAGUCCCCACGUGUGGCCUGCUUUAAAAGGCACUGAGGAGGACCAUGGCUUCUGGAAGAAGAUGACAUAUACAACCCAGGCCAGCUGCGGCUGCAACAGAGCUCUUCAGUGUGUUCAUUUCUCUUUUUGUUUGUUCAUUCGUCUGACAAAUACCAUGAGAGGCUGUGGAAGGGUCUCCACUGGGCACCAACGGGAAAGCACCCAUAAGAAGAGGCAGCUUCUUCCCUCACAACGUAUAGAGGAGAGCAAAGCCAAUGGAAAAUUCAUCCCCUUACCAUAUGUUGCCUGAGUUCUGACUAUGUGCAGCUAGUGGGGCCUUAAAGAAACCUGUCAACCCCCUUGCCCCAGUACACACACACACAUGAACACACACACACAUACUGGCAUGGCACUCACAUUCCAGAGAGGGCUGGCAGGGAGAUAAGGGAGGAAAACACCCAGGGUGUCAGGAUGGGGGAAGAGCCAGGAGAAAAUGAAAGUGAAAUAGGGGAUAGAGGGUUGGAGGGUGAGGGCGUGCACACUGAGGUGGGGGAUCUAGUAGGCCCUGCUGGGAAGAUGCCCAGAGCAAAAGCAGGAGAGGAGCUAGGGAACCUGUGCAUGACCUCUGAGGGGGCAGCAGCAGCCUCCUUUCUGAAGCAGCAAGGUGACAGCGUGGGGGCGCAGAAGUGGAGGCAGUAUGAAAACAGGUCUGCGGGGUGCAGAGAAAGGGGCAGUAGAUCGUCCAGGACCUUAUGGAUCAUUGUGAUGACUCUGGCUUAUACUGUGUUUGUGAUGGGCGCCUUUGGAGGGUUUAAAUGGAGGAAUGACUUGGUGUGACUCCUGUUUUAACAGGAUUUUUUCUGGGGACUAUGUUGAUAACAGAGUGCAGAGGAACAAGGAUGGAAGCAGGGAUAUCUGUUAUGAAGAUGCAGGGAGAAGCCAGGUGAGGGCUAUAGUGCUCAGACCAGGUGGCAGAGAUGGUAAGAAGUGGGCCGACCCUGAACAUCAUUUGAAGGAAGAACAGGCUAUAUUUUCUGACAUUGGAAAGAGGGUGUAAAAUAGAUAGAGGAGUUAAGAAUGUCUCUAAGGGUUUUGUACCUGAGCAAAUGGAAAGUUUGACAGGCCAUUAACUGAGAUGGGAGACAGCAAGAGAGGCAAUUUGGAGGUGUUGGGGGAGGUAGGAGACUGGAAAUUUAUUCAAAAAAAAUUACUUCUGAAAUUUUCUGUGGUUAAAGGAAACCUAUUUUAAAUAUAAAGAUAUAGAUAGAUUAUAGGGACAUUCUAUAAUGAUAAAAAGGUCAAUUUACCAAGAAGAUAAACAGUCAAAUAUACUAUGCAACUAACAAAGAUC